rnacentral:lncRNA from 1 species
UGAGAGCAAAUCUUAUCCAGAGCUGGAUAAGUCAGCUUUGCUUGUAGCUCAAGUAAAGUUGUCGUGUGUGUUUGAAAUCUGACCUUUGGAACACGUGUCAGUUCCUUAGUGACCCAGGGUCAUUCCGGACAAAUCAGCUCGGGUUGCCUAGUGGCUAUAAAUAGCCCACCCCUUACACCAUAAAUUGGUUGGCUGCUCAGAGUUAGUGCACAGCUUUUGUCAUUUGAGAGCAAUCUAACUCGAAGCCUUUGAGAUAGAAAUACUUGCGAGGACAAAGCCCUAAACACCCAAAGCCAAAGAGUGUUAGGCAUCACUGAAGUCUUCCUGUCUGUGUGAUCUGAAGACUUAUUACACUUGAGGACUGUGAAUCCUCCAGCCGGUUAGGCGUCACGUUCUGAGCAUUGUGGAUCACCGGUGAACAAAGUCUGUGAAGGUUUGGAAGUAUACCUUGAAGACUUACCAGAGUGAUUGGGCGAGGACUGGGUGUCCUUAGCUCAAGGGGAAUAAGGUGAAGAGAUGGUCUUCUGAGUUAAAUCUCAGCCUCCCUAACCAGACGUACAAUUGUCCCAGCAACUGGAACUGGUCUAACAAAUCAUUGUCUUCAACGAGCAACUGGUUCCAUCCUUUCCAUCUCCUUAUUUACAGUUGGUUCUUGUGAAGUCAUUGCCUGUUUGCAUUAUCUUUUGUCUUCACUAAGUGACUGCUUGUUCUGAUCGGCUUCAUACUAUCGUCCAUCCUGAUCUAUACUACCUAGCUACUAUUAGUCUUUGUGCUUUCACUUCAUUGAAUACUUGACUAUGGCUUGCCUAGUGUAGUCUACCUUCCGCUGCAUGGUAAUAGGUUUAUUUCUAUUGUUUGUCUUCAAAACUUCCAUGUUUUGAAGACUUUCAUAAAAAUCGCCUAUUCACCCCCCCUCUAGUUGAUCACGAGCACUUUCAAUUGGUAUCAGAGCAAGGUACUCCCUUGUUCUGUGUGAUUCGGUUUAACCACCUGGAGUUUUAGCUAUGUCGACUGCAGGGAUAAUCAAAGUCUCCGCUGCGUGCCCCGUCUUCGAUGGAACUGAAUAUCCCUACUGGAAGAAUAAGAUGCGCAUGCAUCUUGAAGUCAUUGAUGUCGACCUCUGGUAUGUCGUCAAGAAUGGCGUUCCUAAGGCUGGUGAAGGUGUCACCGCUGCUGAUGUCAAGAAGUUCGUUCAACUGGACUCCACUGCCAAGAACAUCAUCUGUGGUUAUCUGACCAAAAGGCAGUAUGGCCAUGUGAGUGCUCUGGAAACAUCUAAGCUAGUCUGGGACUGGCUCUCCAAGGUCAAUGAAGGCGUCUCAACCCAAAGAGAUCAAAGGAUCAGUGUCCUUUGCAACCGCUUCAAGAGAAACAACAAUGAGAAUGUUCAUCUCACGUUUGAUCACCUUACUGACAUCACAAAUGAGCUUCAAGCUCUCGGCGCUACUGAGAUCACCAAGCAUGAAAUCGUCAAGCCACUCCUGAGAUCACUUGACAGCUCAUUUGACACCCUAGCCCUGAUGAUUCAAGAACGCCCUGACUUCAAGACACUCGAUCCGUCUAACAUACUUGACAGGCUCAACACACAUGAGUUUCAGCUUUCUGAGAAAAGAGAUAUCUAUGGUCCCAACUAUGGCCGAACUCGGGCAUUGAAGGCAAAAGCUGUCUCCUCAUCUGAAGAAGUAUCUGACUGUAGUUCUGAUGAUCCUGAAGACAUUGGAAAGGAGCUUGCUAUGCUUGUGAAAAAGUUCCAAAAAUUCACCAAGAAAAAGGGCUUCAGAAAGUCUUCACGAUCAAGCUCAAGGAAUGAUGAAGCUUCUGCUCACGACUACAAGAAGAGAACAUGCCACAAGUGCAAGAAACCUGGUCAUUACAUCUCUGAGUGUCCACAGUGGGACAAUGAGAACAAGAAGAAUAAGAAGAAGAGCAAGGAAUAUGAUUCUGACGACAAGAAGAAGAAGAAAUACUCAAAGUCUUCUUCCAAGUCUUCCUCAAAGUCUUCAUCACACAAGAAGAGCUCAUCUGGCAAGGCUCAUGCGUUUGUUGGCAAGGAAAUGGAUUCAGAGGAGGAGUCUGCUUCUGAGGAGGCGGAGGUGGAGUCUGAGGAGGAGUCUGACUCUGGUGUUGCAAGCUUGGCUACAGCCUACGUUGCCAAGUCCAUCUUCAACACUGAAGGCAAUGACUUCAUCAGCGACGCCGAUGCCGAUGACAAGGACAACUUCGCUCCCACCUACUGCUUCAUGGCACGCGGUGCCAAGGUAAACUCACGCACCACUCACUAUCAAACAUCAAGUGAAGAUGACUCUGAUUGUGGUUCCAAACCCAGCUACAAAACACUUGCUAAAAUUGCAACUGAACAACAGAAAGCUAUGGAACAUAUUAAAAAACGGUUAGACAAAAGCGAUGACCUGUUAGACGCUGAAAUGACUCAAUCUCAGUCCUUAAUUGAAGACAUAAAAAAUCUUCAUGUUAAGUAUGAGGAACUUGAAAGUCGUCAUGAAACGCUCUCAACAACUCAUGAAAAGCUUUCCUAUGAUUAUCUUCAAAGGAAGCAAGAUCUUGAGAAAUUGAGAGCGGAUCAUGAAGAUCUUCAAAAGGAAAACAAGUCACUUCACGCCAAACAGAUCAGUCCCACUCAGGAAGGAUUUGAACCACCAUGUCUUAAAUGCAUUGAGCAUGACAACGCUACUUCUGUUGCUGGAUGUUCUACUGCUGCUACUAUUGCAAUAUCUCCAACUGUUGAUGUGGUAACUAACCCCUCUACUGAGGAUGCCAUUGCUAUUGCUGAUGAAAAUGCUAGGUUGAAGACAUUGCUUGAAAUAGGGAUGUACAAAAGUCUCAAAGGGCAUCAGACACUAUGUGAUGUCCUCAAAAGGCAGAUCCAGAACCGAAACCCUAGGAAAGAGGGUGUUGGGCUCGAAAGGAAAAUGAAUGCUGAUGGCUCUUACUGGAAACCUGAGCAGUACCCCAAAACCACAUGGGUUGCUGCAAAGGAACCUUCAAUGGAUCCAUCCACCCUAUCUAGCUUCACUUGUACUAAUCCCAUUGUCACUGAUGAAUCCUUUGAUGCAAACUAUAAACUAUUUAAGAAUCAGAAUGGUGAAGUGUUUGCCAGGUACAUUGGUACUAACUGCAGGAAGAGGCCACCUACGAAGAAAGUCUAGGUGCCGAAAAAGUGUCUGGAGAAUCUUCAUGUGAAUGUCGUCAUGACACCAAAAGUGAAGAAGACAAACCCCAGACCACAGGCUUCAUAUGGUCCAAAGGCUUCAUACAGACAGAGGACUCACCUGAGUGGCACUAACGCAAAUGUUUUGCAGGGAAACCAUACCCAGGCCUAUGAAUAUGAGCGCGCUUCAUCAAACCGCCAUGUUCAUUAGACCAAGAACUACUCUGCUUAUUCUUAUGAGUACUAUUGUCCACCUGCAAGACUAUUUGCUAGGGCUCCAAAGCCAAAGUUCUUAGUUGCUGCACUUAGACUCAUCGCUUCGAAGCCACCCUUGAAGAUGUGGGUGGCUAAGAAAGCUUAACUCUCUUUUACAGGGAAGGGUCUCCAGCCGAAAAUCAAAUGCGUCUGAAGCUAUUGCUGGGGACCUUAAACAUCUUGUAUGGCGCAAGAUCAAAUGCCCAAAUGGUCUUAUUAUGUAUUUUGUUCCUGAGUGGCUUUCUACUUGCCCUAUCAGUCCUAACCUCGAUCUAAGCUUUCAUAAUCCACUUGCUCGUCAAAUGUUUAUGCUUCACAAUUCUCUUCGUGAAGCCUAUCCCCUAACUGCACUAUAGGGUAUGACACCAGCUGCUUCAGAAUGGAUUAUUGAUAGUGGAUGUACUAAUCACAUGACUGGCAAGCGAAGUCUUCUCAUGGACUCAACUCUAUGUCCAUCUGACAAAAGUCACAUCACAUUUGCUGAUACUGGCAAAAGCAAGGUAUUGGGUCUAGGUAGAGUUGCAAUCUCAAAGGAUCAGCACAUGGAUAAAGUGAUGCUUGUUGAAUCCCUUGGUUUCAACUUAAUGUCCGUCUCAAUGCUUUGCGAUUUGACCAUGAUUGUGAUAUUUGGAAAAUAUCAUUGCCUAGUUCUAAUGGAAUCUGACAAGUCUCUAGUCUUUGAAGGGUAUCGGAAAGAUGAUAUGUACAUGGUAGAUUUCUCAGAAGGACCACAGCUUGCUGUAUGUCUUCUUGAAAAAGCUUCAGAAUGCUGGCUCUGGAAUCAGAGGCUAGGGCAUGCUGGCAUGAGGAACUUUCACACUCUUGCAAAGAAGAAGCACGUCCUAGGCAUCGAGGGCGUCAAGUUCAAAAAGGAUCACUUAUGCGGUGCCUGCGAAGUUGGAAAGAUGACGAGGGCCAAGCAUCCCUCGAAGACAAUCAUGACAACGACUCAACCCUUCGAACUGCUACACAUGGACCUCUUGGGCCCUACUCACUACUCAACCCUUACUACUACUGCUUGUCUCUAUGGCUUCGUCAUUGUUGAUGAUUAUUCAAGAUAUACAUGGGUGCAUAUAAUCCUCUACAAGACUAAAGUGCAGGAUGUCUUCAGACAUUUCGCCAAUCGAGCCAUGAGCAACUAUGGCGUCAAGAUCAAGCACAUCCGAAGUGACAAUGGCACUGAAUUCAAGAACACCGGCCUCGACACUUAUCUUGAUACAUUGGGCAUCACUCAUGAGUUCUCAGCUCAGUACACGCCUCAGUAGAAUGGCAUCGUCGGACGCAAGAACAGAACACUCAUUGAGAUGGCUCGGACGAUGCUCGAUGAAUACAAGACUCCAAGGAAGUUCGGGCCUGAAGCUAUUGAUACAGCAUGCCAUGUCAUCAACCGUGUUUAUCCUCACAAGCUGCUGAAUAAAACAUCCUAUGAACUCCUCACUGGUAAGAAGCUAAACGUCAAUUACUUCAGAGUAUUUGGUGCCAGGUGCUGGGUCAAGGAUCCACAUCACACUUCAAAAUUUGCACUGAAAGCACAUGAAGGUUUUAUGCUUGGUUACAGAAAGGAUUCGCACUCCUAUAGAGUCUUCAACCUCUUUCACUAUAAAGUGGUUGAAACUAUGGAUGUGCGGUUUGAUGAGACUAACGGCUCGCAAAGAGAGCACCUGCCAAAUGUGCUAGAUGAAAUUCCACCCAGUGAAUCCAUCAAGCUUAUGGGAACUAGAGAAAUCAUACCGUCUGAAGUACAGCCUGAAGAGGAACUUAUCAUCUCUGCACCUGAUCAAUCUGAAGACAAUGCUCAGCCUGAAGACAAUCCUUCAAACGAUGACAAUGAACAACAAGAGAAAAAUCUUCGUCCAGAUCAUCCUCGUAUUGCAAAUGAAGUACGGAUUGAGAAGAUAAUCGAUAGCAUCAAUGCACCCGGUCCACUUACUCGAUCAAGGGCAACACAACUAGCAAAUUUCUGUGGACACUUUGCAUUCGUCUCAAUAUCAGAACCGAAGAAAGUUGAUGAAGCCUUCAUGGAACCUGAAUGGAUUCAAGCUAUGCAAGAAGAGCUUCAACAAUUUCAGCUGAAUAAUGUAUGGGAACUGGUCAAGCGUCCUGAUCCUUGUAAACACAAUAUCAUAGGCACAAAAUGGAUAUAUCGCAACAAGCAAGAUGAGCAUGGUCAAGUUUUCAGAAACAAGGCUCGUCUAGUUGCUCAAGGAUACACUCAAGUUGAAGGAAUUGACUUCGAUGAAACAUUUGCUCCUAUGGCUAGGCUUGAAGCUAUACGCAUAUUGCUAGCCUAUGCAAAUCAUCAUAACAUCCUUCUGUAUCAAAUGGAUGUGAAGAGUGCGUUUCUCAUUGGCAAGAUUGAAGAAGAAGUGUAUGUUGCACAACCGCCUGGCUUUGAAGAUCCAAAACAUCAUGACAUGGUUUAUAAGCUCAACAAGGCACUGUAUGGCCUCAAUCAAGCCCCUCAUGCUUGGUAUGACACACUCAAAGACUUCCUGAAGAGCAAAGGCUUCAAACCUGGUUCCCUGGAUCCCACUCUCUUCUUGAAGACAUAUGAUGGUGAACUAUUUGUGUGCCAAAUAUAUGUGGAUGACAUUAUCUUCGGCUGCACCAAUCAGAAAUACAGUGAUGAGUUUUGGAUACAUGAUGCAUGAGCAAUAUCAGAUGUCCAUGAUGGGUGAGCUGAAGUUCUUCCUUGGCCUUCAAAUACGGCAGCAACGCAAUGGCAUCUUCAUAUCUCAAGAGAAAUACCUCAAAGAUUGCCUGAAGAAGUCUGGAAUGCAAGACUUCAAAGGUUAUACGACGCCAAUGCCUACCAAGAGUCAUCUAGAUUCUGACGCCAAUGGUAAAGAGUUCGAUCAAAAGGUAUACCGCUCCAUGAUUGGUUCUUUGCUUUAUUUAUGUGCAUCUAGGCCAGAUAUCAUGCUUAGUGUUUGCAUGUGUGCCCGAUUCCAAGCGUCACCAAAGGAAUCACAUCACUUAGCUGUGAAGCGAAUUCUUCGAUAUUUGGCUUACACCCCAACACUAGGAUUAUGGUAUCCAAAGGGCUCAGAGUUUGAUCUAGUUGGAUUCUCGGAUGGUGAUUAUGCUGGUGACAAAGUGGAUCGCAAGUCUACAUCAGGCACAUGUCACUUUCUAGGACGAUCACUUGUGUGUUGGUCUUCAAAGAAGCAGAACUGUGUAUCUCUCUCCACUGCUGAAUCUGAAUACAUUGCUGCUAGAUCUUGCUGCGCUCCGCUUCUAUGGAUGAAGCAAACACUCAAAGACUAUGUCAUUCAUCUGAAGCAAGACACUCUACUGCAAUAAUGAAAACGCCAUCAAGAUCGCCAACAACCCAGUUCUACACUCGAAGACAAAGCACAUUCAGAUCCGUCAUCACUUUCUCAGAGAUCAUGUCAUGAAGGAAGAUAUUGAUAUCAUUCACGUCAACAUUGAAGAGCAGCUGGCAGAUAUCUUCACAAAGCCCUUGGAUGAGAAAAGGUUUUGCAAGUUGCGGUGUGAGCCAAAUAUCUUGGAAUCCUCAAAUGUCCUGUGAUCAUGCACACAUCCUAACACUAAUGCAUGUUGAUGAAUUAGAUGUGCAAACACACGAAGUAACCUAUAUCUUCAACCAAUGAAGACUUACACUCUAAGUGUGAAUACAUUAACGCGGAAUUUGACCUCGGAGCGCCAUGAUAAUUGUGCGUCGUGUCUGGGUCUAAUAUUUCCUAUAUGGUGGGUAACACCACCACCAAACAUUUGUUUUGAAUACCUUCUAUUGGCGUUACAUUUGCAAAGUCUUCGCAUUUUGUUCGUCUUCUGCUAACAUGGCUUCAUGUUUAUCUUCAAUAUACUGAUUUGGUUUCUGUCCUCUACAACAUUCACUUAUAGCUAUGUCUUCUAGUUGAAUCUUUUGAACUAAGUGAAUGUGAUCGGACCCUCACCUUUCUAUGCUCCCGUCUUAAGUCUAUCUAUCCAAAUCAUAUGCAUUCUAUUGAAACUGUCGAAUGUCUUCGUUGCGUCCUUGUCAGCAAAAGAUACAGAGACAAACAUUAAAUCUAUUUUAAAUGCUCAAUCCUUUUUACCCGAAUCCCGGAGAAGCGGGAAUGACCACCCGACAAUCUAGGCGUGCGUGGGAACAUGGAACAACCUCCAAUGUGUUGCAUGAUUGCCACGUGUCCAUCAGAUGUGAACCGCCAGGGGCACCUGCGUAAUAACAUUGUGCCGUCCCUGUCCCUAUAAAUACACGCAUCACCCUAGUCAUUAUCUCUUCUUCCACUCUCGCACAAACCCUAGCGCCAUCGCUAGCCCUUGACGACGCCGGCGACGAAGCGCUUAGCUGCCGCGACCUCACCGACGCCGUCAUCACGCCGGCCGCGGACAUUGUCUUCUCCGCCGUCGCUGUAGGUGUCCUCCGUCGCCAAGUUAGGGCACGGAAGAUCGAACUGCUCAGCCUCCUCUCUCACUCUGUCUAUCAGUUCCUCGUGUGGUAAAUAAAACCUCUUUUUACAGUCUUUUUGAUCCGAUAGAUUCAUCCUUUCCGACCACAAGUGGUUUCUGUUGCUACAAAGUUGGAUCUAUCCUGUUCUUCAUCUCAUACCAUGCCUAGUAUGUUCACUUAUGCUUCACAAAGUAGUUAGAUUCCUCACUUGUACUUAUUCGUGGAUUCGUACAAAUCUGGAACCAACUCACUACAUAUGAGUGAAUGUCUUCGCACUAUGAGGUCAAUGUCUUAUAAACUGAUUUAUCUUCAAAAUCUUCUAAGAAUGCAUAUGACCUCUUCCCCUUCCCUCACGUCUCUAAUGCUGUCAUAGGUACAUGUCCAUGGGAGAAUCCCUUGGUUCUCAUAGUUUGCAUUCAUUUCCGGAGUUCUUACAAUAUCACAUAAAUUCUCCUGAAGCCAGUUCUUGUCUGACCAGUAGACGGAAGACUUUGACAGUGUUGAAGCCUUUCAGUCUAAACUUCAUGGCUAAAGAGAAAUCAGCAAGGAAGGGUGGUAGACAGCGCCGUGGGGGUACAUCAACGGACCUGCCCGAAGAUCUCUAUGAACUUUACAAAACUGACCCCAAAGAAAGCUAUGGUCAGCGCAAGACACGAAUCCAAUGGAUUCGAAGAUACUGGGCCGAGCAAUGGUUCAAGUACAGAUUCGUCACCAGGGAGUAUGCUGAAAAGAAUGCUCUCUCGUGUCCUUGGGGAGAUAUUCUCUAUAAAAAUCUUCAACCCAAGACCAGAACUGAAGCCAUUGCUCAAGGAUUUUACCCUUGCAUGGUCCGAGGGCCACAACCUACUAAUGUCGACCCAUCGUCAUUGCUUUGGUGUCGAGAUGACAAUCUGUUCAAGCGCAACUAUCAGGCUGCAAAGAACUCGGCCAAGGAAAACAAGAAGUCUUUGGGAUUAGGCUUCAACCCAGGCCCCUCUACACCACGUGCUGACGGCACACGCGAAGCUAAACCCAAUCUUAUUGGGCCCUUCUACAACUUAGAAGGUCUCAUCACUCACAUUCAGGUUCAAGGGGCAGUCGUGGACCACUCUGCAGAUGAUGCUGAUUCUGACGAAGCGCCUGCACCACCGAAGCCUGUGAAGCAAAAGAAACCAAAGGCUUCAAAGCCCUCCUCUGCACCAAAGUUCUCACGGGUGAAGCCUCUAGCCACUGCACCUCCUGAAGCCAGUGUGCAGUCUGAAGAUCUCUCACGCAUCUCCAAGUCUGACAAGUUGAAAAAACCCAUGCAACCCACUGGUCAAGAACUGACUCCAGCUGCUGUUUUGAGAAACGAGAAUGAUGCCUUUGAUCUAUCCAGCGACGAUGAUCUUGGCAAUAACGCUCUUAAGCAAUUGAUAAAGAGCAAGCAAGAGGCGGAAAUCUUUAAUGAUCUUCCCCUCUUUGAUGUGGAAAUCCUGUACAAGUUUAUUGAUGAAUGGUUUGACAGCCCAGACCUUAGUUUCGAUGAUCUUCAGCUCCCGAUUGGCCUCAGCGUCUCCUUCCACGGAGCUAUUGCUCCUGAGCUGGCUCUUGCAUAGAAGAUUGUUGAGCUGAAGCACAAAAUUGACUAUGAAAAGGCUCAGUUCAAGAAGAACAUGGCCAAGCUCAAUGUUGAAGACAUUCAAAACUUCAAGGUUAUGAUGCAUGAGCUCAAGGAGGCAUUCCACAAGAAACGAGAAGAGGCAAAAGGUUCUCGUGACUGCAUGAAGAAUCUUGCUGCCAAAUGUGUUCAAGGCUACAAUGAAGCUGAAAAGUGCAAGGCUUUGGGGCAACCAGGCAUCCACCCCAGAAUGGCUGCCAAGAAGAAGAAGAAGCCAGCUGUGGCCGAACCAGAAGCAUCAAGGCAGGAAGAACCUCGCAUUGUCUUCCCGGCCAGUAUGACAGGCUCGAAGCCUAAGGUCCCCAUAGUGGCUUCAGAGUUCAAGAAAACGAGGGAAGCUGAAGCCGAAGCCAGAAAGUGCAAGACCAAAGCCACCACUGAUGAGGCUCCACCAACCAAGAAAAGAAAAACAAAGAAGCGAGACUGGGCUGCUUCCACAGAGCCCCUUGUUGUCGAGCCAAUUUCUGUUGCUUGUCCUCCCUCUGCACAUCGAGAACGUCGUUUGGUAGUUCAUGAGCCUGCUCCCACAAAGGCUCCUGAAGCCGAAGAGAAUCCAUCUGUUGACCCCACCAUAGCUGAAGACAUUGGUCCUCACGACAAUGUUGAAGAUGAUGAAGUACUUCCUCAGAUCGAGCUCAAUUUGGUAUCAUCGCCUGUUCUCACGAACAGCGAACUCAUCAGCAUUGGUCGUCCAUUGACGCCAAUUGCUCACGAUGACUCAUGGGCUGAUCACCCACCAGAAUCCCCUCGUGAUGAAGAAACACUAGUCACUCCCCCACCACAGGUCACCACACCGAUGAUUGACGAUGAAGACUUUGAGGCCCAACCAACUCCAUCUCCACAGGCGUCGCCAGCGUUUCGCAGGCUUCGCAAAGGACCCAGGCCCCAGGUCACAUUGUCAAGUGUUCCAGAAGGAGAAGAGCGCCAAUCCGUUUCACGCGAAGUCUUUCCUGAAGCCUCUCCUACUGCGAACAUCCCUGAAUCUGAAGCCAAAAUGACUGAAGAUAUUCUGGCUGCAUCAGCCGAUGAAGAAGAAGAACCACACAAUGAAGAAAGAGCUGCUACACCCUCGUCCAACCAUGAAGAUGUUCUCAAGGAGAACGUGUCUGACCCUCCAGCUCCUGAAGUGGAGGUCACCAAUACUGAGGCGGCCACCAACAUCAACACUGAAGCCAAUGACAUUGUCAUGGCUGAAGCUAAUGUGGCGCCCGAAGCUAAUGUGGUGCCAGAUGUCGCUGCACCUGAAGCUUAUGCUGCACCUGAUGCAAAUCUACAGCUUUAAGCCAAUGCCUCUACUCCUGUACCACCUCCCAAGCCACACACCAUCGAGCAAGCAUAUGAUCGUGGUCAGCUUGUUACAGUCCGUUGGCCAAUCCUGGUUCCUCCGCCUGCUCCCGGUCCUCAAUUUGCCUAUCAUGUGGAGCACAGGCCUCAGGUCCAGAAGUCAAAGACAAGGCUACCACGGUUUCUAGGUAUUGAAAUCUCUCUAGGAUCAUUUAAUCUGAAUGGAUUCAAGGCACACAACACAUUCUUCGACAGUGACAAGAACCCCUACACACGGCCAAGAAUCUCUUCGGACCGAUUCUGGAGUUAUCAGCAGCGAAGCUAUUAUUCAUGCAUCUUGUACAAUCAGGGGCACAUCUUCCCACGUAUGCGUCUUGAUUGUGAAGCCAUUGCUGGACUGCCAUGCCUUGAAGAAGCCCUUGACUGCUUCCGUGAUGCGGGUCUGCUCAACUUUGUGACUGCCAAGGAACACUGGAAUGAAGAACUUCUGCUUCAAUUCUAUGCUACCCUCCACAUUCGUGGAUACAACAGGGAUCCGAAGACUUGGAUCCUUGAGUGGAUGAUAAGAGAUGUUCAUCAUUAAGCUAAAUCCCAAGACAUCAUUGAGCUUACAGCCCUGCCCACUCUUGGUGAAUAUUAUGAACCAGGUUGUCAACAACACCAGAAUGCUUUGGAGAGCAUUUUCAGAAGCUAGAACCCAACAUGAGCCAAAUGCUGAGCAUGAUGAAGCCUUUGCCACGCGAUGUUGAAUACCCAACCGAAUUCUUUGUUGAAGACCUAGAGUAUCUGCCCCGCACCAUUUACCAUAUCAUCAGAAAAACUCUAUGGCCUGUCAAAGGACAUUCAUCUGCAGCGAAGCUCGAAGGAGCAAUGAAGACUUUGGUUUUCUAUAUCUUCAAUGGCAUAAGCUUCAAUGCUCAAGACUUCUUCAUCAGGCAGUUGGCUGCAUCUGGCUCCGACAUCUUUGGUCUGAAGUUCUAUGCUCCAUGGGUAAUGCAUCUUAUCAAGCUUCACUCUGCCUUCAACUAUCAGCUGUCUGCACGCAAUCAUCUAGUAUUCUUGCCAGAGGUUCAUUUGUCUAUUGAACCUAUUUACCCAGAGCCUGAAAGGAUCCAAUUUAUUUUCACAAUGUUGAUCAUCAAAGCUUCACCCAGCCCAUUGAAGGAGUUCAGGCAGUCUCUCAUGUUUAUCCCUUGGCUGGCAACACAUGUGCCCCUCGUGCCCAAACUGAAGCCACUGGAAGCACCAUUGCCCAAAGGCCUCGGAAGCGAUCUCGUGUUCUCAACGACCGAGAGCUUCUUGUCGCUCUACAUCAGAAACAGGAUAAGCAUCAUGACUGGCUUAAGCGUCAGAUGCAAAGCCUCUUGGUGGACGUCAAUCGCAUUCGCAAUCUUGCCACCAAGAAUUCCUUUGUUACACAUGAAACCUGUCGGAGGUCUUGGAAGAGUUUGACAUUGCUCACUGCUGAAGAAGAUCUUCAAGACGAUGGCUUCAUAGAAACAUUCAAGUUUGACUCCACUCCUCCAAGGAAUGCUCACGUGCGUCGGACUCCCUCACUUGUAGACUCUGACUAUUCUUCCUCAGCUGCAACGGUGAAUGCCAGAGUCAUAGAUGAUCAAGAUGAUGCUACCUCACCACCUCCAACUUCAGCGCGUAUCAACACUGCACCAAGUUCUUCUACACCACCGGACCUCAACGACGACCCUGCUGCUUCGCCUACUCCUCAUGGGAACUAGUAGAAGCUCUAUGUCUUCAAACCUUUUUGGUCAUUACUGACAAAAGGGGGAGAAGCAUAUGAGUUGAUAGUCUUCAAGCGGGUCCAUAUGGGUGGUUGCUUUAUUUUUGCUACUUCUGCCAAGUGCUUACAACUCUCGCUUUUGACAAAUUUGGUUCGUCUUUGAGUUGUAACACUUAAACUUGUUGGUCGUCUGCUACCUUUUCGACACUAUGUGAUGCGAUGAUAAAUUCCGCAUGUGCGACGAUAAAUUCUACAUGAAGUCAUCUUGCAGACGUCCAUUUUUUCAUUAUGCAUGUCAUUAUCUUCGGUAUAUCCUCUCAUGCAUGAUGAAUUGUCUUCAUAAGUAGAAGAGGAGCUCCGCAAGUACAACCUGCCAUGUGCAUUUGCAUUCAAAGGCAAAAUAUGUAUAUGCACAUCUUUAGGGGGAGCGUUCCUGCUACUUAUGAAGACAAUACUUAAAUCCUUUACAAUUUCACAUACUUCUAUCCCCGUUGAAAACUUCAACUAGUUUGUCAUCAAUCACCAAAAAGGGGGAGAUUGUAAGUGCAUCUAGUGCCACCCCUGGUUGGUUUUGGAGUAUUGACGACAAACCUGGUUGAGGGACUAAUGUGUUUGUGAGAAUUGCAGGAUAACACAGGUAGUAGUCCCUCAUUGAUUCGGUUUACCUACCGGAGAUGACCCCUAAAAAUGUAUGAAGACAUUGAAGACAAAGGUGGUAUGUGAAGGUAUUCACAUUGAAGACUAUGACAAGAGAAGACAUCGCGUGAAGACUAUGGAGCGCGAAGACUUAGUUGUUUCGUUGUUUCCUUUUCUUCUUUUUUGAGUCAUAGGAACCACCAUACUGUUAAGUGGGGUCCAAGUGAACCAGUCAGAAUGACUGAAGUGAUGCUUAACCAAAAUCCUAUGUCUUCGAGCAAAGACAAUGAGAGAAAAUCUUAUCCAGAGCUGGAUAAGUCAGCUUUGCUUGUAGUUCAUGUAAAGUUGCCGUGUGUGUUUGAAAUCUGACCGUUGGAACACAUGUCAGUUCCUUAGUGACCCAGGGUCAUUUCGGACAAAUCAGGUCGGGUUGUCUAGUGGCUAUAAAUAGCCCACCCCUUACACCAUAAAUUGGUUGGCUGCUCAGAGUUAGUGCACGGCUUUUGUCAUUUGAGAGCAACCCAACUCGAAGCCUUUGAGAGAGAAAUCCUUGCGAG